GGUGCUGUUUAUCCAUUUCAGAAUUGGGUGUCGACAUAGCACC
rnacentral:misc_RNA from 1 species